rnacentral:lncRNA from 1 species
GGAGUCAGAGUCCCUUGUUUCAAAUGCAGACUUUGCAAUUCAUUUUGUGACCUUGGACCCCUGACUUCAUCUUUUUUAGAUCCACUUUGUAGGGUGAGCCUACAGAUUGAAUGAAAUAACAGGUGAGGUUUUUAGCUUCGCACUUAGUAAGAUGGCCUGUGGAAGUCAGAAAUGGUAUUCAACUCUGCAGGAUCUUGCCUCAAACAUCUUUAAAAAACUACAUAGCCCUUCUACUUCUAAUCAAUACAAACCUCCACGAAUUUUCUAUUGUCAUCACCUUGAGUCGCAGAAAUGAUAGCAAUAAACAUAUAGGCAAAUAAACCCUUACAAAAUGUAAGCAAGAGUGUUGAAAAUAUAGACUCAGAAUUGAAAAAUUGUGGCAUAAAGAUGGCCAUUGAACUAUGACAACAGGAAAACUUAGGUCAUGUACUAUUGGCAAUCUUAAAAGGAUGAAAUAAAGCCUCAUAAUGUAUAAAGCGAAAACUUCUUAACAUAUAAGGAGAAUAAUAGAAACAUAAUUAGAGUUGU